rnacentral:rRNA from 1 species
UACGUAGGGUGCAAGCGUUGUCCGGAAUUAUUGGGCGUAAAGAGCUCGUAGGCGGUUAGUCGCGUCUGCUGUGAAAACUUGGGGCUCAACUCCAAGCUUGCGGUCGAUACGGGCAGGCUAGAGUUCGGUAGGGGAGACUGGAAUUCCUGGUGUAGCGGUGAAAUGCGCAGAUAUCAGGAGGAACACCGGUGGCGAAGGCGGGUCUCUGGGCCGAUACUGACGCUGAGGAGCGAAAGCGUGGGGAGCGAACAGG